rnacentral:rRNA from 1 species
GACGAACGCUGGCGGCGUGCCUAAUACAUGCAAGUAGAACGCUGAAGAGAGGAGCUUGCUCUUCUUGGAUGAGUUGCGAACGGGUGAGUAACGCGUAGGUAACCUGCCUUGUAGCGGGGGAUAACUAUUGGAAACGAUAGCUAAUACCGCAUAACAAUGGAUGACACAUGUCAUUUAUUUGAAAGGGGCAGUUGCUCCACUACAAGAUGGACCUGCGUUGUAUUAGCUAGUAGGUGAGGUAACGGCUCACCUAGGCGACGAUACAUAGCCGACCAGAGAGGGUGAUCGGCCACACUGGGACUGAGACACGGCCCAGACUCCUACGGGAGGCAGCAGUAGGGAAUCUUCGGCAAUGGGGGCAACCCUGACCGAGCAACGCCGCGUGAGUGAAGAAGGUUUUCGGAUCGUAAAGCUCUGUUGUAAGUCAAGAACGAGUGUGAGAGUGGAAAGUUCACACUGUGACGGUAGCUUACCAGAAAGGGACGGCUAACUACGUGCCAGCAGCCGCGGUAAUACGUAGGUCCCGAGCGUUGUCCGGAUUUAUUGGGCGUAAAGCGAGCGCAGGCGGUUUGAUAAGUCUGAAGUUAAAGGCUGUGGCUCAACCAUAGUUCGCUUUGGAAACUGUCAAACUUGAGUGCAGAAGGGGAGAGUGGAAUUCCAUGUGUAGCGGUGAAAUGCGUAGAUAUAUGGAGGAACACCGGUGGCGAAAGCGGCUCUCUGGUCUGUAACUGACGCUGAGGCUCGAAAGCGUGGGGGGCGAACAGG